CAAAGCGAUUCAAAGUGUUUCAGAUCCCAUCACUGCACGCGGCUAAUCGUGGAGCGCCGCUCGAUGGCCGCUCGCGCGCGAUCGCCUGCCCUCGAGAACCAGCUGAGACGCGCAGAUUACAGCGAACGUGCUACCCAUAUUAAUAAACUAGUUUUUAUCGAGGUCGUAUGCCUGUUGGUUCCCUUGAAACUCCAUUCAAACUAUCGGCUACCGGAGCACCGCGACGUUUCGUUCAGACGUCAGUGUCGUCGUCCAGUCAUCGCCUCUGGGAAACUAUUGCCAAUAAUUAUGGAUAAUUAGAGGCGACAAGCAUGAACAAGAUUGAGUUUACGUGUGUUCGUUUUUAACUAGCUUUUUGGCUUUGUGCUUUUCUUUUGUUGUGGUUCAGGAAAGUUUCAUUUUGUAUAAUGAUACAGUGUCUUGCUGAUAAAAUAGGACACGAUAUUCGAUAUCUGUAAGUUCAGUUUUGCAAUAUGUUGAUAUCGAUAAUAAAUAAAACACUUCAGAUCAUCGAAUUUUUUGAUAAAAUUCUAAUGGAAUAAAUUUCUUUUAAUAAUAUUUAUUAACGUAUUUCGAAUAUCUGAUGUCAGGAUGUUCCUUAAUGGUACGCGAAUUUUUAUACAUUUAUAUAAUAAUACGUAUAAUAAUAAACGGACGUGAUGGCGUUUUCAAUCUUAAAAAGCAUAACGCGUCUCGCCACUCGACUGUAUCGAGCCUAAGUCAUGAUUGCCUGAUUUCGCGACGAUUGCAAUUCAUCACGCCGAUUAAACUACUUCCUCGGCUACACUUCUCGAGGUUGGGAAGCUGCCAGAAGAAGGAGGAGCUCCGGAGUGCGAUGUUGGCCCGAAGAAUCGUGACCUACGGCUGGCUUUCCUAAGCGGGCUGCGAUUACCGAUUAAAUCGCGGACGCUGGAUCUUCGUGUGCAAACAUACGAACGGACGAGGGCCCAUAGCGGGUGUAGGUACACGAUGUUACGGCGCAACGAGGAUAACGCCAGGUCACGAGUGGUGUGGAACCGUUUUGGAAUCAGCGCGAAUGGGGGACUGAUAAUGGGAUACAGUGAGAUCGUAGAAAAUGAUAGUAAGUGUCUCGAGUAGUGCACGAAACACAUUUAAUGGAAAUUAACCCCUUGAUGUACAAUUUUGUUCGACCUAACAGGUCAAAAAUACACAAUUUUCUUUUUAGCACUUCUUAACUAUGUAAUGAUAUAUAUUUUUGUGCAAUUCAUACGUUACGUGUUUAAUAACGAAGGAAGAUAUAUAUAUAUCUUAUAUAUAAAUAAAAUUCUAUCGUAAUCUUGACUUACAUAGAGACUAAUAAUUAUAACGUCUAAUGUCAUAUCUAAAUAUUUUAUUAUGGUAUCUUAGAACCCCACCAAAAUGUUAAUAUACUUCCACUCCAUCACAAUUAAGGGUACAAUUCAAACACAAACAAAUUUUUACUUCUUGCAUUUUAUAUAGAACAUUUUGAUAUACAUUUUACAUGCCACUGUGUUUGUUAUAGCGUUCGUGUCAUCUAGUAGUACUUUUUAGUAGUACCAUAUAACUACAGAAAUUUUACGCUAUGAAAAAUGUGUGAAAAUCGAAUAUAUAAAUCUUGCUAAAAAGACGCUUCUUGAAAAAGUAAGAAUAUGCAACAAAACUUAUCACUAUAGAUACACGUACAGAUCAUUAUCAAUUGGAUUCUAUCAAACGCUAACAUCAACACCGAUGUCUUGUAUCUAAAAUAAGAUCACCGGAAUUUAUGCAUAAAGUACAAUGUUUCCUUGACUAAUCUGGCCAGGAUGUCUUUUCUGAAGCAGUCUAUCAAAUCUCUCCAGGCCGGUGUGACCUCCGGCAUUAAUCCAAAGGAGGGAGACGAAAAUAGCAACAGAAGGAGGUUGUCGAACAAAGGGAAGCGCAGAAUAAUGGGGGGAAGCCUCGAGGGGGUAAGAAGGAUACGAGAUUCUAGCAACUCGGUUGCAAAUGCAAGUAGACAGACACACACAACGGGCAAAUGCGGUGGGUUCAAGGCGGUUAUCAGUGCUCGCCUCUCAUCCUGAGGAGUAGUUAAAAUACACGGGGGCCUGGCUACAACAUAGACCGUUGUACUAGAUUUCUAUCUACGUAAUUAUUCCGUCUACGAGAAACUUUCCGUUUAUCCUUGAGAAUUCACAGCUGGUAUUAAUCUCAAUUAACACAUGGAAUCGGCCACAACAUCCAGGUCACCAAUCACUUGUACCUGGUGCAUUUCAUUAAAUCGAUUCCAAUUUCUUAACUGAUCAUGGAUGGAGUUACCAAGUAGAAUAUCGCGUUUCUCACCCAUGUCUCACUUUUUUCUCUCUUUGACUUCUCUAAGACUUUACAACUUUCUACUCCUUUUUUAUAUUUUCUUUUUUUUGUUUUGAUGGUAAAUCGCGAGACGUACAUCUCUGAUACCUAUCUCCUUUCCAAGAUUGUUCCACGUUCUUCAAGCUUCUUUUCUUUCUCUUUUUCUUGAUGGACAUAGAUCUUGGAAACUUGACUUCGUCACGAAACUCUUCGUUUACCGAAUAUAAUGGGCAAGUUCAUGCGUCAGUUCAUGCGUCACUUUCCCUUAUCUUUAUUAUUUCCUCGAUGAAAGUGCUGCUGAUAACACCCAAUAUAAGUGGAAUACCGUGUUUCCUAUUUUUCCCGACAGCCUUCCGACAGCCUUACAAUACAUCUGGGUACUGACAGCUUUUCGUUUGUCGGUUGCUUCCUUCCUUACGUUCUUGCUUCCUACUACGUUUCUACUACCUAGUUUCUACUACGUUUUGCCUCAGAGUAGUAUUGUUGCGUGAAAUAUUACUCCAUGCGAUGAUCCAAUUGACAAGUACAAAAUUACUAUGAUUCAAAUUUUUAAUAUGUUUGUAGUAAUUAUUUCAACAAUACUUUUAACGUAACCGUUGCCUGUUCGUUUUUAUUAAAUAUUCAUUGCUGUUGCUUCCUCAUGCUUCAAAAAAGAAUAUUGUAUUGCAGUAAUCCUUAACUGAACUGAUUCGUACAAACAAGAAUUAACAACAAAAUCUCG